rnacentral:rRNA from 1 species
UACGGGGGGGGCAAGCGUUGUUCGGAAUUACUGGGCGUAAAGGGCCAGUAGGCGGCCAACUAAGUCCGACGUGAAAUCCCCAGGCUCAACUUGGGAACUGCAUCCGAUACUGGAUGGCUUGAAUUCGGGAGAGGGAUGCAGAAUUCCAGGUGUAGCGGUGAAAUGCGUAGAUAUCUGGAGGAAUACCGGUGGCGAAGGCGGCAUCCUGGACCGACAUUGACGCUGAGGAGCGAAAGCUAGGGGAGCAAACGGG